UUUCCUACGGGGGGCAGCAGUGGGGAAUAUUGGACAAUGGGGGAAACCCUGAUCCAGCGACGCCGCGUGAGUGAAGAAGUAUUUCGGUACGUAAAGCUCUAUCAGCAGGAAAGAAAAUGACGGUACCUGAGUAAGAAGCCCCGGCUAACUACGUGCUAGCAGCCGCGGUAAUACGUAGGGGGCAAGCGUUAUCCGGAUUUACUGGGUGUAAAGGGAGCGUAGACGGCUGCGCAAGUCUGAAGUGAAAGCCCGGGGCUCAACCCCGGGACUGCUUUGGAAACUGUGUAGCUAGAGUGCUGGAGAGG
rnacentral:rRNA from 1 species